rnacentral:rRNA from 1 species
UAUACAUACAAUAAGGGAGGAAGACUAACAGGAUUCCCCUAGUAACUGCGAGUGAAGCGGGAAAAGCUCAAAUUUAAAAUCUGGUGGUCUUUGGCCAUCCGAGUUGUAAUUUAGAGAAGUGUCUUCCGCGCUGGACCGUGCACAAGUCUCCUGGAAUGGAGCGUCAUAGAGGGUGAGAAUCCCGUCUUUGGCACGGACACACCAGGGCUUUUGUGAUGCGCUCUCAAAGAGUCGAGUUGUUUGGGAAUGCAGCUCAAAAUGGGUGGUGAACUCCAUCUAAAGCUAAAUAUUGGCGAGAGACCGAUAGCGAACAAGUACCGUGAGGGAAAGAUGAAAAGCACUUUGGAAAGAGAGUGAAACAGUACGUGAAAUUGUUGAAAGGGAAACGCUUGAAGUCAGUCGCGUCGACCGAGACUCAGCCUCGCCUCGGCUUGGUGUACUUCUCGGCCGACGGGUCAGCAUCAAUUUUGCCCCUUGGAUAAUGGCGGGAGAAAUGUGACACCUUUGCGGUGUGUUAUAGUCUCUCGUCGCAUGCAAGGGUCGGGAUUGAGGAACUCAGCACGCGCCUUUGGGUGUCGGGGUUUUUCCCACGAUACGUGCUUAGGAUGUUGGCGUAAUGGCUUUAAACGACCCGUCUUGAAACACGGACCAAGGAGUCUAACAUGCCCGCGAGUGUUCGGGUGGAAAACCCGUGCGCGCAAUGAAAGUGAAAGUUGGGACCUCCGUCGUGGAGGGCACCGACGCCCGGACCAGACCUUCUGUGACGGCUCUGCGGUAGAGCGUGUAUGUUAGGACCCGAAAGAUGGUGAACUAUGCCUGAAUAGGGUGAAGCCAGAGGAAACUCUGGUGGAGGCUCGUAGCGAUUCUGACGUGCAAAUCGAUCGUCAAAUUUGGGUAUAGGGGCGAAAGACUAAUCGAACCAUCUAGUAGCUGGGUUCCUGCCGAUCUUCUCUC